AUCACAAUCAUCCAUUAGUCUCAAAUCACAAAAAAAUGACUUUAGCUGCAGCUGGGUUUCCACAUACUGGAUCACAUUUUUUACAUUGUGACAAUUAGGGGUGCACCGAUAUAUUGGCCAAUGAUGGAUGCUUGCUAUGCUUCUCAAUGAAUUACGGUGAAAUGCCGCUACAUCCAAAAGCCAGGGGGCGCUCUUGUGCAGAAACUCAAUAUGCGCUGCAGACAAAGAACCAUACACACGGAGAUCCAGGAAAUGAUAUUGCUGUACUUCAAACCUUUUCAGGUCUUUCCUUUGUUUGGCUUUCAAUCUUGACAUGCAGCUGACACGUGUUUUGCUCUGAGAGCGAAAGAAGCACUUUGAGAUUUGGACAAAACUCUUUCAGCUAUGUACAGAUGAGCACACCAAAAGUCUGAAUACACGAUGACUGAGCACACUAAAGUUAGUGUUGAAAAGUUUCCAAGGAGACGGAAUGAAAAGAUAUCCGCAAACCUCUAGUGGUUUGAGGGGACGGCGUCACUCACAGACAAACACACGUCAGCAUGUAGUUUGCAUUACACACCCUAAAGGAGUGGUCACAGGCGUCUCUGGCAUCUUCACUGUAACUGAAACUGUGGCCUUAACCUUUAUCACUUCACAGGAAGUUGGACAGGAAGGCGGGGCGUGUGUGCAUGUGUUUAAUGGCGCUGCUGAAUAAAGUUCAAGAUUAAAAGUAUCAUGUUGAGGGUUUGCUUUGGACAUACUGGACCCUGCAUGUCCAGGAUCUGAAUUUCAGAUCAAAAUUUCGGCAUGUGUGCUACAUUAGAAUAGUAAAACAGAGAAUGGUCUACAUUGUGAGCACCAGUCAACAGUGCACACGACGAAAAGAGUUAAACAUACCGAAUACACAUACUGAAUGUUUUAAUGACAAUGCAAAAAUGCAAUAACCACAAAGCUACUUUUAAGGUAGAUUUAUCAGAUUAUGUGUUUUCAGUGGGAAUCAAAUCUAUGAUUUAUUAGCAUUGAUAGCACAAUGCUACAGUUAAGCUACAAUGUAAACAGGAAUCUACAGAUUUGUGUGCUGGUAAAGUGUAGAGGUAUAUAAAAUCUCAUCAAAUCAAUGUAAAAUAAAAAGCAGUAUUUGAAACCAUAAAAUAAAAUGCUAAUUCAAUAAAAAGUCAUCUCCAUGACUUUAAAAAACAAACAAUGUGUGUACAUGUAUUUGUAUCCAGGGGAAGCCUGAAUGCACACCCACUUCAUGGGACUCAUGUUGCGGUUCCCACGGGUAAACAAGCUUAAAAAUCGUACACAAUGCUUUGAAAAUCUAAAAUAGCAGAGUUUUUGGUAAGGGGUAGGAUAUACAGUUUAUCCAGUAAACCAUUACUUCUAUGGAAUGUCCCAGCGGUGAUCGAAACCAGACAUCCGUGUGUGUUUGUGUGUAUUUGUCAGUGUCUAUUAUUAUGUAGAGCAUGUUGAUGGGUGUGCUUGUGCAUUGAUAAGUAUGUCAACAGUGUCUACAGGACAUUCGGGGUUGGGGGUAUAUUUAUAGUACCUUGUAGGAAAUGUCACAACAGAGCGUUGAGUUUGCACCAUCUGCCCAUAAUUUACUGCACAUUGUUUACAUGCAUUUAAAGACAGGAGUAUGCAUGCUGGUCUUGUGUUGAAUGCAGAUGUGUCUGUGAAACAUCAGUUUAAAAUUGGCAUUCACCUGUCUUUACCUUUUAAAAUGAUGGAGCAGAAUUUAAAAUAAAAAAUUAAAAUGCAUAAACAUACACAUCUCUAUGACACAUGUAUACAUGAGAAUUCAAAAUAUUGUAUGUAUAUGAAUACAGUCAUUAUAUUUUAGUCAUUAAAACAAAAUUGUGGCCCCGAGUCAUU